rnacentral:lncRNA from 1 species
CUUUUUUCUUCUUUUCUUUUUCUUUUGAGUGGGCGUGGUCAGCGAGAAUUAAUUAUUGAGAACGGACAAAUCGGUAAAACAGCUCUAACGGAGUGAAGUAUCAAUUCUUGCACCCUUAAGUAGCGAAAAAACAAUUGGGACAAGAUGUAUUAGUAAGUAGAUUGUAACUUAGAAAAAGAAUGACAUGAAUUAAAUAAUAAAUCAAUAACUAUUUGAAACAGUUCCAACCAAUUCCCCUAUACACAUCCCACCCAAGCCGCAACCCUAAUUCAAACAGAUGUCACCGGAAUAACCACCCAAAACCCCCAACUCGUGAACUCAAAAAUUGCCGACAACUAAUCCUCCGAUCCCACCCGCCAUCAUGGACUGUCACCGUUCGACUCCCACAAUCCAGGCGUCCAAUCUGACGAUGGUAUUUCAACAAAAAGUAGAGAAACAAUCGAUGCAGCUUUUGGGAUUUCAAAUCCCGAUCUUUGGGUGGGGUGGGAUUCGAUUUCUGGCCUUUAUAGAGAUGAAUUUGAUUUUUAGUUUCAUAUUGAACGUGGUGGGCAUGGGUGGCAGGGGCUAGUGAUUUUUCUUGGUUUGAUUUUCAAGAUUGGGGGUUAGUUUUCUUUGUUUGAUUUUCGAAUGUACAAUGGGUUGGAAGGUGGUGAUGGAGAGUGCCGGCACUGGUAGUGCGUGGGUGUGGGUCGAAGAUGGCAGCCUGAUUACGAGUUCUUUCUGUCCAGGAGAACCUAGUAAUUUCGUUUAUGUACUUAUUUCUAAUUUCUCGUGUGGUACUGACUAGUGCUAAUGCUUAUUCAGCGUUGUAUAGCAAUUGGUAAACCGAGGUAGUAGCUCAACAGCAUACUUACAUUUAUGCAGUUUAGCUAUGUAGAUUAUUUCAAAGUUAGCUUUUUUUCCCCCCUUUAUCAUAUUUUGAUUUGGAAGGUGAAGACUAUAAAACCGAUA